CUUUCAACCAGGGCGGGAGAAGUAUACGAAAUAAAAUAUGUUUGUCAGUGAAUGUGGUUAGACGUAAUAUUUUAUUGUUGUUUCAUUUUUAGAAAAUCUAUUUUUGCAUAUUGCAGAAUUUAAAACCUAUGACAAGAUUUUUUCACUGUUUUUACUUUCCCUUUAUUUAACCGUAUCGAAGACUUCUAAAACUGGAAAUAAAGUUACUAAAUAAUUUAGUAAGAACAAGAUUUUUAAAUCUUUCAUAUUCACGUUCAGGAUCCAGGGAACUUAACUGUGGAGAAAAAAAUCAGGAGGAAUGGUUAAAAAAUAAUUACCAAGUAAUUUAUCCGUAAGUAAUUCUAUGCGGAAAAUUGAACAACAUAUCCAUUUCAAUUGUUGUCUUAAAUGGGGAUAAUUAUUUCAUUUCUGAUCCAAUUAAGGCUUUAGAGACGUGCUUCAAAUGUUUAACAGCACUUAGAUCAUUU